rnacentral:rRNA from 1 species
UACAGAGGUCUCAAGCGUUGUUCGGAUUCAUUGGGCGUAAAGGGCGCGUAGGCGGCGGGGUAAGUCGGGUGUGAAAUCUCAGAGCUCAACUCUGAAACUGCACUCGAUACUGCUCUGCUUGAGGACUGGAGAGGAGACUGGAAUUCACGGUGUAGCGGUGAAAUGCGUAGAUAUCGUAAGGAAGACCAGUGGCGAAGGCGGGUCUCUGGACAGUUCCUGACGCUGAGGCACGAAGGCCAGGGGAGCAAACGGG